CUAAACUAAUUAAACUAAUCCUAAAAAAAUCUAAAUGGCCUAAUUAACAAAAAUUAAAACUAAACAAAUAAACAACAAAAUGAACCAAAAACAAAUAGUAAUAAUGGGCUCCGAUGGGGUAAAGCCCUGAAACAUGGGUUCCCAAAGCUGAAACACGUUUGGGCUUAGAUGGCCAAAGCCCAAAGGGAAAUGUAGCAAGCCACAGGGGUGAAGAUCCCAGGUUAGGGGGUGAGUUAUUGAAAAUAGGGUGAAGUCCACAAAUGGCCUAAGCCCAAGCAUUAAGGCCCACCCGGAAACUGAUAUAUGCAAGUGGAUAAGGCCAAAUCAUGUGGACAAUGAGUCAGCAGUGAGUAGGUCGUGAAUCAGCAAUGCAUAAUAAUCCUUAAUUAAUAAAAUGCACAUGAAAAACGAACUCAAAGCAUGGACACAUCCUCUAUCCUCUCUCAUCAGCCUAGCCCUAUCUCCGCCUCGCUAGAGGCCUCUCCGACGGCGGAGCCACCAUGAGACCUCAAUCCAAAACCAUCUUUCUACCUUAUUUCGUACCCUGAAUCCAGAUAUAGCCAUGAAAAUUUCUAAAGAUUCUUGAAUCGAGCAAAUUGAAAGCAAACAGCCAAGAAACCUAAUCUAUCAAAGUCAAAUUAUAUGGUGUACAAGCAAGGAUUGUCAUGCAAACCAUGGGGAUAAUGAUGCCAAGAGGGUCUACUACACAAUGGUAACCGAUUUCACGUCAAACAGAGAAGAAAAGAUUUACCUCCAAAAUAGAGAAAUGUUUUGGUGAGCGUUGAUCGAAAAAGACUAAGUGCAAAGGGAAAUCACUUGAAGCGCAGGUUUGCACAUGAGUCUUGUUGUUGUUGUUUUGUAUUGGCUGCUACAAGUGGAUAUUGAUUGUUCAUGGCCUUAGGGACUUGUGGAAUUUUGGCCUGCACGAAAGAGACAAGAGCCAAGGCUUAUACAGGUUGUGUCAUGCUGAAAUUGGUUAGCUAUGUGAUGGGUUGCAAUAUUGUUGUGCAUUGCUGCUGCAACAAGGUAUGCAUUGUUGUUGGUAUGUAUGCAUAAAUGUUUUAGGAUGAUGCACUUACCCAUACUAUGUUUGUCAUGGAUGAUUGGUUGGUAUGCAUGAUUGAAUGCAGGACUGGUUUAUGGAUGACAAGGCUUGUGGCUUAUAGUAUGAUGGCAAGCAAAGUGACUAAGUUCAAAGACAAGGCCAAUGCAAAUUUACAAGAAAUGUGAUUUCUUUUUUUUAAAGCAACAUGAUGAUGGGAAGUCAAGGAAUAGUGCAAGACUAGGAAUAUAGAUAAUAUUAGGACUUUAGGAUGAAAAAAAUGUAAUGGUUGACUUUGGUCAACUGGUUGACCAAAAAGUCAACAGUUGACCAAAAGGCAACUUUUGUAAAAAUGCAUUUUUUUUGUAAUGAACAUUGUAUAUGCUAAUGAAUGAAGGAAAACAACUUUAUUUGAAUAAAAUGACCAUUAUGAUUGAA